rnacentral:rRNA from 1 species
UGAUCCUGGCUCAGAUUGAACGCUGGCGGCAUGCCUUACACAUGCAAGUCGAACGGUAACAGGUCUUUCGGGAUGCUGACGAGUGGCGAACGGGUGAGUAAUACAUCGGAACGUGCCUAGUAGUGGGGGAUAACUACUCGAAAGAGUGGCUAAUACCGCAUGAGAUCUAUGGAUGAAAGCAGGGGACCUUCGGGCCUUGUGCUACUAGAGCGGCCGAUGGCAGAUUAGGUAGUUGGUGGGAUAAAAGCUUACCAAGCCNACGAUCUGUAGCUGGUCUGAGAGGACGAUCAGCCACACUGGGACUGAGACACGGCCCAGACUCCUACGGGAGG